rnacentral:rRNA from 1 species
UACGUAGGUGGCAAGCGUUGUCCGGAUUUAUUGGGUUUAAAGGGUGCGUAGGCGGCUUUGUAAGUCAGUGGUGAAAUAUGGCAGCUCAACUGUCAAGGUGCCAUUGAUACUGCGGAGCUUGAGUACAGAUGAGGUAGGCGGAAUUGACGGUGUAGCGGUGAAAUGCUUAGAUAUCGUCAAGAACACCUAUAGCGAAGGCAGCUUAUAGGCUGUAACUGACGCUGAGGAGCGAAAGCGUGGGGAGCAAACAGG